AAGUAUGUCUCAUAUGUUUCUUAGUUAAAUGAAUGCAUAAAAUUGAUUUACUCGUUGCUAAGUUGAAGUUAAAUUUUGUCAAAAUUUUCGUCUAUAGGCCUACCUAGAAGUAGGCCUAUUAAAUAUAUUUAAUAGGUACUAAAUAUAUUUAAUUCAUAAUAUUAGAAAAUAAUUGUUGGUGUAUUUCUUCUACAGGUACUUGUUUUGAACUCAUGGCUAAACUUCAAAAGGAUAUCCAUUAUUCGAAUUCCAAAGAGAUUGCGAUGAAACUUUAACGUUUGUUUUGAAUAAUUUUGAACAUUAUACAGGAGGAGUGGCCAAGAUUGCGGGGUCCAAUUGAGAGCCAGCGUUCUAAAUGAGGGAUGCAAUUGUGACAGAAAGAACGGCAGACAAGAAGAGAGUUGUCCGAGAAUGGAAAGAUGGGGAACGGAGGACUGUAACGGAGAAAUCAGAGAGGCAAACAACAACAACAACUAUAGGUGUCAUUACCAUGGAAAUAAUGGACAAUCGUGUGAUGAAAAUGAUGCAACCGAUGAACGGAAACAUAGGGAUAACAAUAAUGGACUCCGCUCUAGACGGAAUAUGAUGAUAAGGUUGGGGCAAAUGGGGUACAUUGAUAACCCACCUCUUCCCCCUCCUACUUUCAAACCUUGCGCCGUUCAUAGCAGACGUCGAUUUUGAGAAGAUCCACUAUUAUUUUAUUUUAGAGAUUUUAUAUCCACUAAAUUUAUUCUAAGAAGUCAAUCCAAGUUGAUUCAAUUUUUUUUCAUAUUCAAAUAAUUCAUUCUAUUUUCAGAAUGUGUACAUUUUUGAUCUAUGAAAUAAAUUGAUCUAUUUGUUAGAACAAGAAAUGAACAAUAACAUUACAUCAAACGUUAUUGAAAAGAGUGAGAUGAAUAAUUUAUCUCAACUUGAGGUGCAGAAAUUCCUCAACAUUAUUGUCUCUAUGCCUGAUGAAAAUUUGAUUAAAAACUUCAACGACUUAUGAUCUUA